rnacentral:lncRNA from 1 species
CUGCAUCAGAUAACUGUUCGUGAUGGACAAAAAAAAUGUUUGUACAUUUUUAUUGAAUCUUUUAAAAAAGAUAGAGAAAGGGAUUACAGUUGCAUCACAGUCCGUUUAGUCUGAAUGCAACCACACUCUCCAAACAACAACAAAAUACAGAUGAUAGAGUGAGAAAAAGUAGCACAUAAAGUAAACAAGUAAACUUGUGCUUAUGUUGAAAAUUCCCCAUUUUGUUUUUCUUUUUGAAAAGUAUGUUUGUUUGUUUUAUGCCUUUUAUUAGACAGUCGGCAGCAGAGAGCUGACAGGAAAUAGGAGCCAGAGAGAGGAAUGACCUGCAACAAGGGUCCGAGGCUGGACUGGAAUGUUGUGAUUACACGCUUCAGGAGGGCCGGACCACUGGCUCCCUCCUCUGUGUGAAUCUGUCAGGGAAGUGUGUAUGUGUGUGUGCAUGUCUCCAUUGGGAACACUUCUUUUUAAACUUACAGCACUCUUUGGGAGCGGUGGGCAGGCUGUUUCAGAGUGUGAGAGAGGAGAGAAGACCCCUGUGGAGCUGUGAUUUGACUAAACAAACAACCGGGCUCAGAGCGGUACCUCCUCCAGCGGAGUCCCGGGACAGCGGAGAUUAACCUCAGACUCUGAACAUCUGAGGGAUCUAUACAUCUGAGGCAGCAGCCCCUGUAGAGACAACCAGCUGGAAAUCCUUCCUCUGAUUUCAGAAGGAGGAGACCGACUGCUGGCAGGCAAACUCCUCGGACAGAGAGGGAAGUCUAUGCUUCUAGGAUCUCUCUGAAGGUAAGAGGUCUUAUUUCUCUGUCAUUGUCAAGGAUUUUACUUUUAGUCAUGGAUGCUUGGCAGCUGUUGACAGAAGUAAAGAUGAACUGUACUAAGUGGUGAAAAUGUACUUAGCCUGUAUGGCAAGCCCACUGUGACAGAUUCAAUUUCAUAGCUGUCUGUCAGAGAGAGGAUGCCCCUCAUCCUCACAACUCUGUACCGUUGGUAUAACUUUGAUUUGAACUGAUACAAUAAUCAGGUUUAAAAGCUGAAGAUGAAAAGAAAUUCUGACUUGACCACUUUUCCGU